rnacentral:rRNA from 1 species
UGCGCAGGUGGUUUUGUAAGUCAGAUGUGAAAUCCCCGGGCUUAACCUGGGAAUUGCGUUUGAAACUACAAGACUAGAGUGUGGCAGAGGGGGGUGGAAUUCCAUGUGUAGCAGUGAAAUGCGUAGAGAUAUGGAAGAACAUCGAUGGCGAAGGCAGCCCCCUGGGUUAACACUGACACUCAGGCACGAAAGCGUGGGGAGCAAACA